rnacentral:rRNA from 1 species
UACGAAGGGGGCUAGCGUUGUUCGGAAUUACUGGACGUAAAGCGCACGUAGGCGGAUAUUUAAGUCAGGGGUGAAAUCCCAGAGCUCAACUCUGGAACUGCCUUUGAUACUGGGUAUCUUGAGUAUGGAAGAGGUAAGUGGAAUUCCGAGUGUAGAGGUGAAAUUCGUAGAUAUUCGGAGGAACACCAGUGGCGAAGGCGGCUUACUGGUCCAUUACUGACGCUGAGGUGACGAAAGCGUGGGGAGCGAACAGG